rnacentral:rRNA from 1 species
GAUGAACGCUGGCGGCGUGCCUAAUACAUGCAAGUAGGACGCAGUUGCGAACGGGUGAGUAACGCGUAGGUAACUACCUAUUAGAGGGGGAUAACUAUUGGAAACGAUAGCUAAUACCGCAUACUAGUAGAUGGACCUGCGUUGUAUUGGCUAGUAGGUAGGGUAAUGGCCUACCUAGGCAACGAUACAUAGCCGACCUGGAGGGGUGAUCGGCCAAAAUGGGACUGGGAAACGGCCCAGAAUCCUACCGGAGGGAGCAAGUGGGAAUCUUCGGCAAAGGGGGGAAACCUGACCGAGCAAAGGCGCGGGAGUGAAGGAAGUUCUCGGAGUGUAAAGCUCUGUUGUUAAGGAAGCGGUACUUAACCAGAAAGGGACGGCUAACUACGUGCCAGCAGCCGCGGUAAUUC